CCUACGGGAGGCAGCAGUGAGGAAUAUUGGUCAAUGGGCGCGAGCCUGAACCAGCCAAGUAGCGUGAAGGAUGACUGCCCUACGGGUUGUAAACUUCUUUUAUAAAGGAAUAAAGUGAGGCACGUGUGCCUGUUUGUAUGUACGUUAUGAAUAAGGAUCGGCUAACUCCGUGCCAGCAGCCGCGGUAAUACGGAGGAUCCGAGCGUUAUCCGGAUUUAUUGGGUUUAAAGGGAGCGUAGAGGGGUUGUUAAGUCAGUUGUGAAAGUUUGCGGCUCAACCGUAAAAUUGCAAUUGAUACUGGCAGUCUUGAGUACCGUUGCGGUAGGCGGUAUUCGUGGUGUAGCGGUGAACUGCUUAGAUAUCACGCAGAACUCCGAUUGCGAAGGCCGCUUACUAAACUGCCACUGACAUUGAUGCUCGAAAGUGUGGGUAUCACACAGGCUUAGAUACCCAGGUAGUC
rnacentral:rRNA from 1 species